GGAAAGAAAUUUCGAUAAAAAUUUUGGCAGCAGUUCGGCAGCAAAGAGAAUAAAUUGAAAACGUCAAAAGAUUAGGAGCAACAGAGAUUUGGGAAAAAAACAGUUAUAAAUUGGCUUGGUAAAAAAAAAGAAAAAGAAUAAAAGAUGAAAACAGAGAGAAAAACUAAAAGCAGAAAUGGUAAAACUAUUAGAAAAUUGGGGAAUGAGAGAGGGUAGCCGUAAUUGCCACUAUUAGUUUCGGUUCUAUCCAAACUCUUCCAUCCAAAAUCUCCACAAAACACUCCCCUCAAUCUCUAAAUCCUC
rnacentral:lncRNA from 1 species